AAGCCGUAUAGUUUUCUAAGAAAUGCGCUUAGGAAGACAUAUUUCUGCAAAGCUGCCAGGAGAGCUCACUUGAACACACACACACACAACACAUACACACAGACUUGAUUUUUAAAACAUCCUUAUGUCCGAGUGGCCGUGUGGCAGUUUGGUCAGCUUAUCACUCAGUUCCAGACCUGUGUUAAGAAAAAUACGACAGCACCUGCCUUCAACGAAACAUUUGAAUCUCAGAUCAACAUCCGGUCCAAAGCCUUGAGCCACACCAGGGUUACAUUCAGCGUUCACGACCGCGAUAGACUCCGGGGGGACCCGCUGAUCGGGCACGUCAUCAUGGGGCUUGGGGCCACCGAGGAGAGCGUCAUCGAACACUGGGAGGAGGUGAUGGUGGGCAAUGGUCGGAAGAUCUGUCGCUGGCAUUACAUCAUGGACAAAGGUGAAACCCACGAGUGCUGAACUGACCAGUGGUCAUUUAUUUGGAGAAUGAAGAUGUACAUUGUUCGGUCAUUAGUCACUGAGAUGGACAGUGAUUAUUUUGCUGGACAAUGGUCAGUACAAAGCUUCAUUUAUACAGAACACCCUCAUUCAGUUGAUAUUGGUUUCUUGAUAAUUGAUUACUUUAGAAACCAACUAAAAAAACAAAACGGUUGUGAUGUUAAAGCGCUACAUUUUUUAUUCCAUGUUUACAGAUUAAUACUUAAUGAGAACAAAAUAAUUUCUCACAAAUCGCAUUCUUUUAAAUAAAAAAAAGUGAUUUAGAAUUUUUAAAAAGUUUCUAUCAAUAUUGAGUUAUAAUUUUUAAAAAAAUUAAUUCGAUAUUUAAUGACCAGAAGAUCUAGCACGUUAACAAGAGAAAAACGUCUGACAAUGAAUUUAGUUUUGCUUAAUGAUUUAAGUGAGUUGAUGGUUUGAUGAAACAACAUGUACAAUCAGGAGAGUUUGAAAAGUUACUUGAAAUCAGAUUCUAGGCCAUGUUGUACAAUGUUCUAAUUAAUAGAUUUAUUUUAUAAACCUUCUCUCUUCGUAUGCAUUAUGGUUCAUGAAAUAGCAACGACUUUCAACUGAUCUGUGAACUCAUUCCAUUCUAUUAGCUAUUCUAAUUUUUUGUUUACUACCUACGUGUCUUGAUUUGUGUUUGUAGCUUACUUUAUAUCCUGGAGAGUCGGGCGAAAAACUGAGCAAGGUUGGAAAAGGGAGAGAAGCCGGAGUUUUAGAAAAGGGAAGGGGUGAGAACUGAGUGGAGUGAACUGCAGAUCCUUCUAAAAAAGACAUAAACUUGCAGAAAACAAAGAUAUCUGUUUUGUUUGAAGAUUGACUCAGCGUCAUGACAGUUUAUCAAACAGCUCAAUCUAAGUUCAACUUGUGUUUACCCUAACAAGAGUGAAAGCUUUAUCCAAGAGAUUAAUGAGAUGAACAAUGUCAAACAUGACCAGAUCAUGUACUAGUAUAUACAGAACAGAGUGGACCGAACUAUGUGCGUAUAUAACUGUAUUACAAGUUUUCUUUCUUUUACAAAGAAUUUAAAGCUAAUAUCAAUAUUACUAAGAUUCUACAUUAUUUUUACAGCACAAAAUCAGAGACUAUCUAUUAUCUAUUCUCUACUUACGACUACAAACAUAAUGUUGACUGACUGUUUCUUCACUCAAUGCUACAUUGGUUUCUAUUGUCGUAAAAAGGUUUUUUUUCCCACAUUAAGAAAUUGAACAACAAUUGAUGCAUGAUUUUGUUUUUUCAAACGAAUCUGUUUUUGUAAGCUUCUAUUUUA
rnacentral:sRNA from 1 species